ACGGAGGCAGCAGUGGGGAAUAUUGCACAAUGGGCGAAAGCCUGAUGCAGCGACGCCGCGUGAGCGAAGAAGUAUUUCGGUAUGUAAAGCUCUAUCAGCAGGGAAGAUAAUGACGGUACCUGACUAAGAAGCACCGGCUAAAUACGUGCCAGCAGCCGCGGUAAUACGUAUGGUGCAAGCGUUAUCCGGAUUUACUGGGUGUAAAGGGAGCGUAGGCGGUUUUACAAGUCUGAUGUGAAAGCCCGGGGCUCAACUCCGGUAUUGCAUUGGAAACUGUAGAACUAGAGUGUCGGAGGGGUAAGUGGAAUUCCUAGUGUAGCGGUGAAAUGCGUAGAUAUUAGGAGGAACACCAGUGGCGAAGGCGGCUUACUGGACGAUUACUGACGCUGAGGCUCGAAAGCGUGGGGAGCAAACAGGAUUAGAUACCCUGGUA
rnacentral:rRNA from 1 species